GCUGCCCAGCCUGGGGCCUCAGGGAGCAGAAGCGGGGCACCUCCACCAUGGCCUGGACCCCUCUCCUCCUCGGCCUCCUGGCUCACUGCACAGGCUCUGUGUCCUCCUACGAGCUGACACAGCCGUCCUCAGUGUCGGUGCAGCCGGGACAGACGGCCAGGAUCACCUGUGGGGGAGACAACAUUGGUAGUAAAAGUGCUCACUGGUACCAGCAGAAGCCCAGCCAGGCCCCUGUGCUGGUCAUCUACGAUGAACAAGAACGGCCCUCAGGGAUCCCUGAGCGAUUCUCAGGUGCCAACUCAGGGAACACGGCCACCCUGACCAUCAGCGGGGCCCAGGCCCAGGAUGAGGCUGACUACUACUGUCAGGUGUGGGAUAGCAGUGGUGAUGCUCACAGGGACACAGACAGACGGGGAAGUGAGACAAAAACCUCACUCGGAGUCACACUCUCUCAAGCUGCAGGGGGACUGCAGACAAAGCCAUGA